rnacentral:rRNA from 1 species
GUUUGAUCCUGGCUCAGGAUGAACGCUAGCGGCAGGCCUAAUACAUGCAAGUCGAACGGGCGGUAGCAAUACCGCUAGUGGCGCACGGGUGCGUAACGCGUAACCAACCUACCUGGAUCUGGGGGAUAGCCCGCCGAAAGGCGGAUUAAUACCGCAUAAGCCGUGUGAGUGGCAUCACUUGGACGGUAAAGAUUUAUUGGAUUCAGAUGGGGUUGCGUAGCAUUAGCUAGAUGGCGGGGUAACGGCCCACCAUGGCGACGAUGCUUAGGGGACCUGAGAGGGUGAUCCCCCACACUGGCACUGAGAUACGGGCCAGACUCCUACGGGAGGCAGCAGUAGGGAAUAUUGGGCAAUGGGCGAGAGCCUGACCCAGCCAUGCCGCGUGCCGGAUGAAGGCCUUCUGGGUUGUAAACGGCUUUUCUCAGGGAAGAAAAAGACCUUGCGAGGUAAACUGACGGUACCUGAGGAAUAAGCACCGGCUAACUCCGUGCCAGCAGCCGCGGUAAUACGGAGGGUGCAAGCGUUGUCCGGAUUUAUUGGGUUUAAAGGGUGCGUAGGUGGCUUGGUAAGUCCGGGGUGAAAGCCCACAGCUCAACUGUGGAACUGCCCUGGAUACUGGCAAGCUUGAGAGUCGUCGAGGGUGGCGGAAUGGACGGUGUAGCGGUGAAAUGCAUAGAUACCGUCCAGAACCCCAAUUGCGUAGGCAGCUGCCUAGGCGACAUCUGACACUGAGGCACGAAAGCGUGGGGAGCGAACAGGAUUAGAUACCCUGGUAGUCCACGCCGUAAACGAUGGAUACUCG